UAUGGUCGCAUCACAUUGAAAACACCGGUUCCCGUACAAGUUAAGCAACAUUGUGCCUGGCAAGUACCUAGGUGGGCGACCGUUUGGGAAUACCAGAUAC